GGGGCUACGGAGCUUAACUCCCAACCCAAUGUGACGUUACCAAACUGUUGCCUCGGCGGGAACUCAUGCCCCGGGUGCGUCGCAGCCCCGGACCAAGGCGCCCGCCGGAGGACCAACCAAAACUCUUUUUGUAUACCCCCUCGCGGGUUUUUUAUAAUCUGAGCCUUCUCGGCGCCUCUCGUAGGCGUUUCGAAAAUGAAUCAAAACUUUCAACAACGGAUCUCUUGGUUCUGGCAUCGAUGAAGAACGCAGCGAAAUGCGAUAAGUAAUGUGAAUUGCAGAAUUCAGUGAAUCAUCGAAUCUUUGAACGCACAUUGCGCCCGCCAGUAUUCUGGCGGGCAUGCCUGUCCGAGCGUCAUUUCAACCCUCGAACCCCUCCGGGGGGUCGGCGUUGGGGAUCGGCCCUCCUCUUGCGGGGGCCGUCUCCGAAAUACAGUGGCGGUCUCGCCGCAGCCUCUCCUGCGCAGUAGUUUGCACACUCGCAUCGGGAGCGCGGCGCGUCCACAGCCGUUAAACACCCAACUUCUGAAAUGUUGACCUCGGAUCAGGUAGGAAUACCCGCUGAACUUAAGCAUAUCAAAA
rnacentral:rRNA from 1 species